ACGCUGGCGGCACGCCUAACACAUGCAAGUCGAACGAAGUAGCAAUACUUAGUGGCAGACGGGUGAGUAACAUGUAGGUAUCUGCCCUUUGGCCUGGAAUAACACGAGGAAACUUGUGCUAAUACCGGAUAAGUCUUUACAGAGAAAGCUUUAUGCACCAUUGGAUGAGCCUGCACUUGAUUAGUUUGUUGGUGGGGUAAUGGCCUACCAAGACUGUGAUCAAUAGCUGAUUUGAGAGGAUGAUCAGCCACAUUGGGACUGAGACACGGCCCAAACUCCUACGGGAGGCAGCAGUGGGGAAUCUUGCACAAUGGAGGAAACUCUGAUGCAGCGAUGCCGCGUGAGUGAAGAAGGCCUUUGGGUUGUAAAGCUCUUUCGUCGGGGAAGAAAAUGACUGUACCCGAAUAAGAAGGUCCGGCUAACUUCGUGCCAGCAGCCGCGGUAAUACGAAGGGACCUAGCGUAGUUCGGAAUUACUGGGCUUAAAGAGUUCGUAGGUGGUUGAAAAAGUUAGUGGUGAAAUCCCAGAGCUUAACUCUGGAACUGCCAUUAAAACUUUUUAGCUAGAGUAUGAUAGAGGAAAGCAGAAUUUCUAGUGUAGAGGUGAAAUUCGUAGAUAUUAGAAAGAAUACCAAUUGCGAAGGCAGCUUUCUGGAUCAUUACUGACACUGAGGAACGAAAGCAUGGGUAGCGAAGAGGAUUAGAUACCCUCGUAGUCCAUGCCGUAAACGAUGUGUGUUAGACGUUGGAAAUUUAUUUUCAGUGUCGCAGCGAAAGCGAUAAACACACCGCCUGGGGAGUACGACCGCAAGGUUAAGACUCAAAUGAAUUGACGGGGACCCGCACAAGUAGUGGAGCAUGUAGUUUAAUUCGAAGAUACGCGCAGAACUUUACCAACACUUGACAUGUUCGUCGCGACUCUAAGAGAUUAGAGUUUUCGGUUCGGCCGGACGAAACACAGGUGCUGCAUGGCUGUCGUCAGCUCGUGUCGUGAGAUGUUGGGUUAAGUCCCGCAACGAGCGCAACCCUCACUUUUAGUUGCCAUCAUUAAGUUGGGCACUCUGAAAGAACUGCCAGUGAUAAGCUGGAGGAAGGUGGGGAUGACGUCAAGUCCUCAUGGCCCUUACGUGUUGGGCUACACACGUGCUACAAUGGUAUCUACAACAGGAAGCAAGACUGCGAAGUUAAGCAAAUCCCUAAAAGAUACCUCAGUUCGGAUUGCACUCUGCAACUCGAGUGCAUGAAGCUGGAAUUACUAGUAAUCGUGGAUCAGCGUGCCACGGUGAAUGCGUUCCCGGGUCUUGUACACACCGCC
rnacentral:rRNA from 1 species